CUUGGAAGAUAUUUGGAAGCUGCGACCAGUGGCGAACUGAGUUUGACAACAACUACAUUAAUAGAGGCAGUCGCGACCUAUGCUAGAUAAGGGCAACCGACCAAGAUCCCGUGACCUGUGCAAGGUAGUGGCAACUGACUAAGAGGCUCCCACGUCCUGUACGAGCUAGUGGCAACCGAACAAAGGCCAUCGCAAGUAGUGGCAAGUGGCAACCGAACAGAGGUCACCGCCGGUAGUCGCAACUGACCAAAAGUCACUGUGGGUAUUGGCAACCGAUUAGAGGCAGCCACUACCUGAGUGUGGCAUUUGCUGCACACGUGAAGCGAUUGAAGCUUGUUGGGCUUUUUGAAACAGAAUUGGUACAUUCCCUGCAAACUGGUACAAUUUCCUUGCUGGACCAAGGUUUGCUCUGUAUUUCUACACUUAAUUUUCCAUUUUAAUUCUUAUUAUAUUUACUUCAACUACUGACUUGGGAGUGUUGUCGU